rnacentral:rRNA from 2 species
GGUGAGUAACACGUGGGUAACCUGCCUGUAAGACUGGGAUAACUCCGGGAAACCGGGGCUAAUACCGGAUAACUUUUUUCUUCGCAUGAGRGGAGAAUUGAAAGAUGGCYUCGGCUAUCACUUACAGAUGGACCCGCGGCGCAUUARCUAGUUGGUGAGGUAACGGCUCACCAAGGCGACGAUGCGUAGCCGACUUGAGAGGGUGAUCGGCCACACUGGGACUGARACACGGCCCAGACUCCUACGGGAGGCAGCAGUAGGGAAUCUUCCGCAAUGGACGAAAGUCUGACGGAGCAACGCCGCGUGAGUGAUGAAGGUUUUCGGAUCGUAAAACUCUGUUGUUAGGGAAGAACAAGUAUCGUUCGAAUAGGGCGGUACCUUGACGGUACCUAACCAGAAAGCCACGGCUAACUACGUGCCAGCAGCCGCGGUAAUACGUAGGUGGCAAGCGUUGUCCGGAAUUAUUGGGCGUAAAGCGCGCGCAGGCGGUUUCUUAAGUCUGAUGUGAAAUCUUGCGGCUCAACCGCAAGCGGCCAUUGGAAACUGGGAGACUUGAGUGCAGAAGAGGAGAGUGGAAUUCCACGUGUAGCGGUGAAAUGCGUAGAGAUGUGGAGGAACACCAGUGGCGAAGGCGACUCUCUGGUCUGUAACUGACGCUGAGGCGCGAAAGCGUGGGGAGCGAACAGGAUUAGAUACCCUGGUAGUCCACGCC